GAACCUAGCAUGGUAAGCCAAGACAUAGUGUGAAAUUCCAUUAUUGCCCUUGUAAGGUUUGCUCUUGCAUGUGUUGAGCUGAGGGUAGUUUAGGUAUUGUAUGUUAAUCCUAGGUUCUCCGGAAUUUACCUAAUCAAAUGGUACUUUGUUCCAGAUUUUACUACUGCCUCUCCCGGAAUUUUAGGGUGUAAAGCCGAAACUUAGGGACAAAGGCAAAGAAAGUCUUAAGUCAUGAGUGUAUUUUCCCUAAUUUAGGGAGUGAUUUAGGGAGAGCAGAGAGAUUGCUUCCUCAAGCAUAAUUGGUCCAUGAUUUAAGCAGUUCAAAACAGGUCGCCCAUUGCAAGUUGCCCAUUUUGCUACUCCCGGCUAACCCAUCAAUCAUCAUCCACCGUCUCCUAACCGUGCGGACAACUUUCAUCCACAGCCAAGUUACCUAAAUUUUUGCGAUACAGCCAAGGCAAAGCAUGAGCCAGCCGCUUCUCAGGUUAGCUCUCACCAUGUAUUCCUUUGUAUGUAGUAAUUAAUUUGUAUUAAGUCAAUUUUUUUGGCAGGAUGUAUUUUGUAUAGGGUUUUCUCAUGUUUGGUCGAUAUACCAUUGUCAUAAUAGAGGCCUUUUUUCCCUUCUUUUGUUUCGAUUUGUGUAAUCUAUAACUAUUGGGUUUUCAGUUUGCAAUUGUAUUCUCAGGUAUGAUCUCGAUCAGGAUUUGUUUGAUCGGCUAGAGAAGGAGAUGAAAACCUAUAGUCAUAGUUCGUGUAAUUGCUUGAGGCGUGCAUGCAGCUGAGAAGCUGGAACUGGAAAGGAAAUAUAUAGCAGUCUUGCUGAGUCACAUGAAACUUGUAAUAAGAGUGGUACAAAUGAAUAUGGUUUCGAGAAAUGGUCAAGAAAGGAAAAAGGAAAACUAUUUGGAAAUGCAAGGAUGGAUUCUAUGAUACUUAAAUAUUGUUGGAAGUUCUAUGGCUGAAUCUUCGUUCAAUAUGGAUUUGCAUUUUGUUUUUUUAUUACUACAUUACCAUUAAUGUAUGAAAAUAACCAUUC